rfam:Gossypium arboreum cultivar AKA8401 contig_15936_7, whole genome shotgun sequence.
CAUUAAAAAAAUCAUCCAUUUCUACUGUUAAAAACUGGUGUGGUUGGCGGAAUAACCAUAUAGUUACACAUAGUGUGCCAUGUGUACCUCGUGAUGACGUGCAAUGACCUUUUUUUAACAGUAGAAAUAGAUGAAAAUUUUAAAG